rnacentral:lncRNA from 1 species
CCUAGUUUUUAGCUCACCUGACCUGAAAGGUCAAGUGAGCUUUUCUCAUCACUUGGCGUCCGUCGUCCGUCGUCCGUCGUCUGUCGUCCGUCGUCCGUCGUCCGUCGUCCGUAAACUUUUACAAAAAUCUUCUCCUCUGAAACUACUGGGCCAAAUUCUACCAAACUUGGCCACAAUCAUCCUUGGGGUAUCUAGUUUAAAAAAAUGUGUGGCGUGACCCGUCAAACCAACCAAGAUGGCCGCCAUGGCUAAAAAUAGAACAUAGGGGUAAAAUGCAGUUUUUGGCUAAUAACUCAAAAACCAAAGCAUUUAGAGCAAAUCUGACAGGGUAAAAUGGUUGAUCAGGUCAAGAUCUAUCUGCCUUGAAAUUUUCAGACGAAUAGGACAACCUGUUGUUGGGUUGCUGCCUGUGAAAUGGUUAAUUUAAGGAAAUUUUGCAGUUUUUGGUUAUUAUCUUGAAUACUAUUAUAGAUAGAGAUAAACUGUAAACAGCAAUAAUGUUCAGCAAAGUAAGACCUACAAAUAAGUCAACAAGACCAAAAUUGUCAGUUGACCCCUUAAGGAGUUAUUGCCCUUUAUAGUCAAUUUUUAACAACUUUUCGUCAUUUUUUGUAACUUUUCUAAAAAUCUUCUUCUCCAAAACUACUUUGCCAAAUUUAACCAAACUUGGCCACAAUUAUCAUUGUGGUUUAUAGUUUAAAAAAUGUGUCCGAUGACCCAGCCUGCCAAACAAAAUGGCCGACAUGGCUAAAAUUAGAACAUAGUGGUAAAAUGCAGUUUUUGCUUUAUAUCUUUGAAACUAAGACAUUUAGGGCAAAUCUUUCAAGAUUUAAAUGUCCAUCAGAAUAAGAUAUAUCCCCUCACAAAUUUUGAGUUGAAUCGGACAACCUGUUGUUGGGUUGCUGCCCUAAAAUUGGUGAUUUUAAGGAAAUUUUGCAGUUUUUGGUUAUUAUCUUGAAUACUAUUAUAGAUAGAGAUAAACUGUAAACAGCAAUAAUGUUCAGCAAAGUAAGAUCUACAAAUAAGUCAGCAUGAUCAAAAUUGUUAGAGGACCCCUUAAGGAGUUAUUGCCCUUUAUAGUCAAUAUUGAACAACUUUUCGUCAUUUUUGUAACUUGUAUAAAAAUCUUUUCUUAAACGACUUGGCCAAAUUUAACCCAACUUGGCCACAAUCAUAAUACUAGGGUAUCUAUUUUUAAAAAAAGUGUCUAAUGACCCCGCCUACCGACGAAGAUGGCCGACAUCAGUAAACACAUUAACAGGUGAGCGAAACAGGCUCUUGAGAGCCUCUAGUUUUUUUAUACGAAACUGUUUAUAGCACCCAGAGCAUUUAGAGCAAAUCUGACAUGGGUUAGAAUUGUUUAACAGGUGAAGAUCUAUCUGCCCUGAAAUUUUCAGAUGAAUCGGAUAACCCAUUGUUGGGUUGCUGCCCCUGAAUUAGUAAUUUUAAGGAAAUUUUGCUGUUUUUGGUUAUUAUCUUGAAUAUUAUUAUAGAUAGAGAUAAACAGUAAGCAGCAAUAAUGUUCAGCAAAG